GCCGGGCGUGGUGGUGCGCGCCUGUAAUCCCAGCUACUCAGGAGGCUGAGGCAGGAGAAUUGCUUGAACCCAGGAGGCAGAGGUUGUAGUGAGCCGAGAUUGCGCCACUGCACUCCAGCCUGGGCAACAGAGCAAGAUUCCAUCUCAA
rnacentral:SRP_RNA from 1 species